UACAGAGGUCCCGAGCGUUGUUCGGAUUCACUGGGCGUAAAGGGUGCGUAGGUGGUUAGGUAAGUCCGAUGUGAAAUCUCCAGGCUCAACCUGGAAAUGGCAUUGGAUACUAUUUAGCUUGAGGAGUGGAGGGGGGACUGGAAUUCUCGGUGUAGCAGUGAGAUGCGUAGAUAUCGAGAGGAACACCAGUGGCGAAGGCGAGUCCCUGGACACUUCCUGACACUGAGGCACGAAAGCUAGGGGAGCAAACAGG
rnacentral:rRNA from 1 species